UCUAAAAAUCAUAUCACAUUGCAGCUCUCGCCUGUUUUCUCACUGAAACUAAGCAGGGUUGAGCCUGGGAAGUACCUGGAUGGGAGACCUAUUGGGAAAAACUAAGGUUUCUGCUGGAA
rnacentral:rRNA from 1 species